UCCCCAACCUAGGCCUUCUACAGCUCCCAGGUGCGGCAGCCACGCCUCCCUCAGUGGCUGGCCCUGAGAUGGACAGGUGAUAAAGUCCUUUCUGAAAACCUCUGAGGAUCUACUCAUCUGAUAUGACCUUGCCAGGUGGUAAGAGAUCAGAAGGGACGGCUGUGGAGGGCCCUUUCUCACCCGACGACGAUCUCUCCUUCUGAACUUAGGCUAUGCUGAGAGAUGCCCCUAGAAAGGACAGCCAGGCUAGGACUCAGCAGUGCUUCCAAAGAGACCCACAGCCAUGACAUCAGGUACAGGCCCAGAUGCUCCUCCUUCCUGGACUGCCGGGAGUCUGGCCCUGACUUGUGGAGCCCAGUAAAAUAGGACCCAAGGAGCGCGUAGCCUCUGAUCCUCUCUUGAAGGACUCAUUCUACUCCCGGACAUAGAGGGAACACAGUUGCCCUUAAAAAUGAACAUUUGACAACUCACUUUGUUUACCCUCUGCCUCUACUCCUGCUAUUAAUAUUUAAUAUCUCUCGGGGAACGCAUGCUUUCCCGACACGCCAAGCCCCGGUGCAGUAUUAAUCAGAGUCUGCCUCGAUGCUUGAUGACCUCCCGCCGCUCAGUGUGACCCAGAAUGGAGAGCAAGGCCCUUCGCGGGCCCUGCCCACCUCAAAGCGGGAGGCUAGGUAAGGCAGAGAUGCUGAGCGCUGGCAUUCUGCACCGCCCUCCAGGGCACGCUAUUGGUGACGGCUCCCAGUUAAUGUAGUUAUCCACUUCCUUACUCUGGGCCUGUGGAAGUGGCUCCCGGCACACAAACCAAUUUUAAAUAAUACAAAUCAUUAGUGCCUAUAGCAGCAGGGGAAGAACCACCCACUCUGCCUUCCCCGGUGGCAAAGCAGAGGGAGGAGCCAGGCAUGAGUGGGCAAGGCUCCAUGGGUAAAGCUUCCACGCCCUGAGGACAAUCCGGUGGUGACCUGUCCUCCACGGAGAGAGAGCUCAAGAUCUUUGCACUUGCACACAGCAUAUCCAAAUCUAUACAGAAAGACUGAAUUGUGAGUGACAGUGCUCAGGAGGAAAAAGGACCCAUCUGUCCACACAGGUCAGACUUAGCUAGUGAAGACCCAUAGGGAGGCGACGGCAUCUAUGACAAGCAAAGCAGCAUCAAAUGCAUCCAGUGCCACAAAGGAGAUACUCCAGAGAGGCAAAGGGAAGCGUGGUCCACGGGAUGAGAACUGAGCUUCAAACUCCAGGGUGCUUGUUAAAAUGCAGAGAACUGACUCCGACAUUGGCGACUCAGUCGGCCUGAAGUCUUCAUGUUUAAUAAGUCGGCUAGGUCUCUUCAAGUGGACCUCACUCUGCCGGACCCCUCUGAGAGCCCAAUCCCGGAAGCUCAUCACAGCCUGGUGGCUCGGAGCUGGUAAUGACAAAAGGCUCCGCAGGGCUGUCCCAGGAACACUCCGGUGCUCUAGGAUCUUUGCCAGAGUCAGAGCAGAUCAGUAGAUGUGGAUUCCUUUCAUGAGGCCUGUCAUUGUCAGAUGACAGCACUGUGAUGCAGAUGUCAACAUCUGGUACAACAUGGUAACAGCAACAAAGACCAGCCCUGAGAGGAGACAAGGCCACGCAGGAGCAUGUGCUUACAGAACAGAGACCUGAAAUCAGGACACUGACAGGGCUGGCAGGGAACGAGGAAGCAGAGGCUACUGGCCACCCAUAGCCACAACUUCCCAGGGUCUCUGGCACUGCAUGGAACGGGUAACUUAUAUGUCCCAUGUGACAAAGGCCACAGCAGGUUGAGCAGUCUAUGGGAUGGGAAUCAACUGCACACCUUCUGGGGAUGCCCUACAGUCUGAAGCCUGAGAGCACACCACCACACACCACACAACAGUGUAACUGUCCAGCAUGUUCCCCUCUGUGGCUUCUCCACAAGCUCCAUGUGAGGCCUCCAGGCCUGAAGAAAGGGAUGGACCAAGAGCAAGCUUGAGAAGUAGUUCCCACCCUGUACAUCUACACCCACAAGGUAUAUAUUCCCCUUCGAGGCCAUGCAAGCCAACUAACCCACCAUUAUGAAAGAAGUGUGGGAGCCGGGAAUGAGAGUGAUGGACACAAUGCUGAGGUCCAUUCAGCCAGGAGAUGAGGACCGGGACCAAAUGUUGGCCAGAGAGGACAUUGCCUCUACACAGGGCAGCCAGAGGAGUAGUACAAACAUAGUACUAAGAAGUCUCUGCAGAACUCAAGGUCAGGCUA